GGAGGUAUAGGCUAACCUGGCAGACUGGCGGGCUCCAGACCCGCUGACAUGGGUUCAAAUCCCAUUGCCUCCA
rnacentral:tRNA from 1 species